GUGCUCGCUUCAGCAGCACAUAUACUAAAAAUAAUAGUCAGAGGCAAGAAGAAGGGUGUCUGCGC
rnacentral:snRNA from 1 species